GUCCGUAGAGCUGAGAUUUUCUAAUGAUGUAAGUGGUGGUGCAUGGUCGUUCUUAGUUCGUGGAGUGAUUUGUCUGGUCUAUUCCGAUAACGAGCGAGACCCCUACGUCCCUAAUAGGGGCGCUAGCCCGGCUUGCUGCUUAACGGCGGCUUGCUUGCUGGUGCCUCAAUUGCUUCUUAGGCGUAUCAGAGCCGAUAAGGUUCUUGAAAUGGGUUAAUAACAGGUCAGUCAUGCCCUUAGAUGUUCUGGGCCGCACGCGCGUUACAAUGGUAUACAUAGAACGUGCUCAACAGGGCGUAUCCACGGCCUACAGGUCGUGGUAACCCUUAGUCUCUUCCUUGACUGGGACAGACUAUUGCAAUUAUUGGUCUCCAACGAGGAAUUUUUAGUAGUCGCAGGUCAUUAACCUGCGACGAAUGCGUCCCUGCCCUC
rnacentral:rRNA from 1 species